ACCAUCACUGUUCAAAGAGCAGUUUCAGUGCUAUGCAGCAUGAGUAAAGGACAAAGGUAGCCUAGAGUGGAGGUGAGAUUCUGAAAGAUGGAACAGUAUCAUCUACAAAUUAUCUACCUGAAAGAUAUGGGCUUAGGAAGGCUCAUCCUCCUACAGCAGAAACAAAUUCUUACCCUGGUCCAGUCUCUGACUUCAUUUCUCCAUCAAGUCAGGGCUGGCCUGGUGACCACUCUGCUGAAUGUGCUGAAUGCAAGAUGAAGCCUUCCUGCCCUCUCUGUCCUGUUCCUCACUUUUAAACCUGCACAUCUGCACACACAUCUCAGCACCUGUGCUGGGGGACCUUGUUUCUAAAAGUGAAUUUAGAUUGAGAUGAACAGGGAUUGUUUAGGGAGCAAAGAGCAAACCUCUUUUAAGCCUUAAAACUGUUUUUAGUAGAGUUUCUGAUUGCUCCAGAGUAUAUAUGUGCUCACACGUAUGUUAGAAGUGCAGCAAAAAUGAUUAAACACACGAGGGAAGAGGCUUCCAUCUAAAAAGUGAUUAAAAAGACUAGCAUUGUUUAGUUUACAAAACACAAGAGUAAAAGAUGAUAUAACAGAAGCAGGGAGAAGGGGCUAUUUAUUUUGUUUUCUCUGAAGCACAAAUAUGCAUGGAAAGGUGAAGGAAAAAUGAUGAAAACAUUUGUGCAGUGUAUAAUCAACCCUGCAACUCAUUGCUGCAGGAUAUUAGGCAAAUUUUUCAAAAACAUUUCUAAAUGUGUUUGAUGCUAUGAAUAAUAAGCCUCAGUUCCUGAGGUGAAGGAAAAGCAAAAACAAACCAUCUCCCCAAACUGGAAGGACGGUUAGUCCCUGUCCUUGUGCUUAGAUUGGUUAGAGAUGGAAUUUUUGUCUCCAGAGGGAUGGCAUUAUUUAUUUAUCAAGUGCAUGAUAUGGGAGUGCUCGUUUCCUUCAAGCAGGAGGUUCUGUAGAAGGCAAUUAAAAGGGUCAGCAAGUGCAGCUGUAAGAAGUCAUUGCCGAAAGAUUUGCCCCAGAAUACAUAAAGUUAGUAAUGGUGAAGUGGCUUGGGUUCAAUUACUUUGUUCUCAGCUGGUUAUUUUCCUCAAAAAACUUCAACUACAGCUAGGUAACAGUCAAGGCUGUGAAUGAAAAUGGAAUAAAAUAUAUUUAUGUCCUUGGAAAGUUCUUCACUAAUCCUGCUUGUUUCUACACACUUGUACAUGCCAAGUAAACACUUUCGCUGCAGAUACAGCCUAUUUUGGGUAUAAAAGGGAAACUGUUGUACCUCCAAUAUUACUCCAAGUUAGCAGCGAGUGGAGUCUGGAUUUUAAUGGUCCCCUCCACACCAACCAGUGCUGAGAGCAGCCUGAGAGGGAGUCGAUCUGGGUGCUGAAGUGACAUGGCAGCCCAGUGCCACGCUGCUGGGGCUGCUGUCGGCUGUGCUCCCACAUCCCAUGCGGCUGCAGUUGGUGCUGUCAGACUGGGAAUGAGCUGGGGAGCAGGGAAGGUGCUGCUGUGAGCAGAAUUAGUACCUGCUUAAAAUGUAUAUGGAGAACAAACUGUCUUUUUAAAAGAAUUUUAAAUGCUACUUCUGGCUUAUGAAUAGUUUCCUUGCAACUGUCAGGCCAUCUGCUUGGAGAGGGGUCUGUGCAGUCAUGAAAAGGAUCUUAAAAUAUACUCUCCUCAUAAACAUCUUUUGUUUGGAAAAUCCACAUGCAUCACAUAAUGCAGUAAAUGGCAGCACAAGCUGAAGUGAAACAUUUUUAAAUGCCGAGGAUGCAACCUUGGAUACAGCCCCCCCCCCCCCCCCCGCCUCCCCUCUAUUAAUAAGCACGCUUUAAAUGCACCCUCAGACACAUUCUCUUACAGCCUCAGAUUGGCAGCACCCACCUGCUGGGAAACAUGCUAAGAUAACUUCCUUGGGUACAUCCAAAAUACCAAACUGGGUUGUGGGCAGAAAAGAAACAGGCUCCUGCAAAGCAGCUCUCUCGGAGAUUACAUCAUUCUCACAGCCAAUUUUCUGCCUACACUGCACCAUUUUCUACGGGGUGUGUGUGUGUGAAAAAAAAAUAGCAUACGUUCGUGUGUACACAAUCAGAAAGGCCAAAUUAAGGAUGUGCAAGCACAUCUAAUUCUAGCAUUUCCUAACUUUUGGGAGCUUAGGUUUUCAGAACUGCUUGGUACGUGAAUAUAUACAAUAUAUACAUAUGCACAUAAACAUUUAUUUGGUUUGCAUGCUUAGAAUAUGAAAUCGUGUGUAUGAGAAGAGUGUUAUGCUUUCCUUACAUUUUUUUCUCUUUAUUUUCAUCAUUCUUUGGUCAUUUUUUGUUUACCCACUUUUUGUUAUUCUAAUGUAAGUUCAAAUAUACAAAAUGCUAAUUUUCUUUUACAUAAAAAUGUAAUAAAACUUUCUGGCUUUCUUUAUAAACAAAUUUUAGCAGGAAUGUUGAUGGGAUGCUGUAUACCAAGUAAAGAAGAAAUACUGUUUAAUUAUCUUCCAUAUAAAAUCCAAUAAAACGUUCUGGCUUUUCUUAUUUUUCUGUACUGGGGAUUAACAUCAGUGUCUUUGUGAUGAGAAAUCUGCAUUCAUGGCUCCUCUAUUUAGAUUUAAAUAGGAAUUAUAGUUCUUGGCAGAAAGGGAUCUGUCAAAUAUCACAGCAUUUGUGGCAGGUGGUCACUGCAUUGCUUAGUACAGACACUGCCUGCUUAACCAUAGCCUGAAGUAAACAUCAAAAGUCAAUUAUUCUCUUUGUAAAUAUUUUAUUUAUAUUUUGGAGGCUAACAAACAUCUUUUCAGUGCUUGGCUGAGACCUUCCUCCACGGAUCAUAAUCCUACUGAACCUGCAUUUGGGUGGUUAAGAAUGUGUUUAGCAAUCCAGGGAUACCAGCUUAGCUACCACUGUAUAUUGGGUUUCAUAACCCAAUUCUCUGCUUCAAAACCUUUAAUGACUUGGCUGGGUUGAAGUGGACAGAGCUAAAACUUGUCAUGGUUGUUACCACUGCAGCUGCCAAUUAGUACGACAACCAUGUAUUAUUUUGCCUUUCCUCAGUUAAACUGUAUUUUGAAUAUAAAUAAAGAAAAAAAACAAACAGGGUGCAUUUCCUUGGAUUUAACACUUCGGGGGUGGGAAAGCAGGAGGUCUGGUUUAAUAGUAAGAUAAGUGUGUGCACAGCGGCCCUGCAGUGGUAACUUGAACGCACAGUGAGUAGCAAAUGUGGAGCAAGAGCUGAACUCUGAGGGUCAAAUGCCUUGAAGAAAUGUCUUGUUGCAGGGUGAACCUACUAAAAUAAAAUGACAGUAUCUGGCAAGUUAUGCAUACAUGGCAGAAUCUCUCCCCAAACCACUAUGGUGUGGAAAACGUCGAAAGAUGCUGCAACACAUUUUAGAUCCUUAUUUGAACUCUGUCUGAACUCUUCGGGCCAUUAACUAAUCAGAUCAUCUCAUUUAAACAAUGUUAUAAAAAUAAUCAAGUACUUCUGCCUACAUAAAUACACUUUGAAUAUAUUUACCUUAAAGAACCGGGAUUUCUUGGGUGUUUACUCCUGACAUUCGGGAAACAGAAGGAGUACAAAAUGUUAAGGAGGAGCAGAAUUCUCUGAGAUGGGGCUCUGGGUAAUUUUCCCUGUAAGCCUGUUUGGUGGCAAGUUAAUUGACUCCCACAUUACUGAAACUGCAAUGUACUAAAGCACUGGGUGCUCGUUUUGCUGCACUAUUUGACUGGCAAAGGCCAUCUGUUCUAUCCCAUCCAUCCACAUGCACAGCGUCUAUUGUUGUCAACAGGAUUCACAUACACGUGGAUCAAGGCAAGCAUGUGCCUCAAACUGUUUUGAUCCCUAGAACAUGGAUUUUUCAUUUUCUUUGUUUCUUUGUGCUCACCCAGUAAUAAUACUUGUCAUCUGAGAAUUCAUAUUGAUCUUGUCAUUGCCUUAAAAUUGGAUGACAAUUACUAUCUCUGUCAAAAUUCGAUCUGAUGAAAUGGCUCCAAUUAGGAAGGAAAAAGAAGGAAUCCAUCACAGCAGGGAGCAUUGCAUUUGGCUUUAGAGUAGAAAAGCUUCUAUUAAACGGGAACUGUUGGAAGAAGCAAAUGGGAACAAGCUUGACAGAUAUUAGGGCACCAGUCUCAAAAUCCAUAGAAAUUAGGUAUAUAUAUGAAAUGAAUAGCCAUUUAAUAUUUGCAGUCCGUAUCUCUCUGCAAAUCUGAGUUGAAGCUCCUCUGACAAUAAAUGCCAGUAACUGUUGUUUUCAUUUUCUGAUCUGGUCAGACACACAGUGGCAGUUGACGCCAGGCUUCCUACAUUUUCCAGUCCAGUUCUGAUCACCAGUGUAAUUAUAAUACAUUAUCAAGAGUAGAUUUGCUGAAGUUUUGGAAAUGAUAACAGCAUAAAUUACAUCUUGUUUCCAGAUACUGAUCUUACCUUGAAACUAAAUGGGAAGAGGUAGUGAAAGAAUUGAAAACAAAAGAGCGAGUGCACUUCCAUUGCUACUGAUAUUGACACUAAAGCAAACAACUUAUCCCUGCCAAUUACAAAUAAAAUUGUGCUAAUUACAGAUUUUUUGGUUUAUAAAUUAGCCCUGAAAAAUUAGCACGUGCAUUUGUGUGUGUGUAGGGGUGGGGGAACCUUUUUCCAAACCAAAGAUGUUUGUUUCAUAUCAAGUUAAUGUUUUAUUCAACUAAAAAAACCUGACAGUGUUCUGUUUCUGAGGUCAGGUUCACCUGUAAUUCUGGGCAGGUCUUACCUGGGAGCAGAGAGAAGGAUGUUAGUGCUCAGCUCUCCACAAAGGACUGGAAGCCUCCACCCACCCAGCAGAAUGAUCUCAGCUCAAGGCCAUUCUUGCAUUGGUUUCUCUGAGUUGGCCCAGUAAAUGCUGUUUCUUCACAAAUAAAAGCAUGGCAGGAACUGGUUUUUUGAUUUGUACAAUUAUUGAGCUUCUGAACAUGAGACUGCACAGUUUACCUCCCUGGAAAAUCAUGUUUUCUUAACAACAUGGAAGAGCUCCUCAAGACACUGAGGGAACCCAACCAAGUACACUAUGCCUUUAGCAGGUGGUGAUUUUCCAAGCUAAAAAUGUAGGAUCCGUGUGAUGCAGAGAUGAGUCACCACACCUCACACAGCAACAGGCUCUUUGGUGAAAGGAGGUAGGUGAGUUGGUGCUCACAGGUCUUCCUCUAGCAAGCUGGGUAGACAUGAUUUCCUUUUCCCCAAACCUUUCUCCCCCCACCUCUGUUUUCAUUAGCUAAAAACCUACUUACUGACUCUGACCUACAUUUGCAAUAGUUGCAGAAUGCAACAGAACUGUGUUUCUGGGGAAUUUGCUAUUUGCUAAAAAUUUUAAUCCAAGCCAUUUUGAAAUGUUAUAUGUUAACUGAGCAAACACAGCAAUCAGAAAAGUAUACAAACCCCAAGCAAUUGUCCUGGAUUUGUUUACAACGCACUGCUAUUAAUGAGCAUCUGGGAUGAGUAUGGGAUCUUGUACUAUGGAUCUCAUGAUCUGUACAAUAAUGGCUGAUUUUAAUUGACUUUUGCUUCAUAUAGCAAAUCCCAAUUGGAGAAGUUCCAGGAUGCUGCUAGUGAAGAACUGUGGGCGGGUGCAUGUUUUGAAGUGAUGGUAAACAUUGUGACAUAUACUGUGUGUACCACAUAUUCUCAUAUACACAUUUUGACUUUUGUUGCCUUGGCUUUCACACAGCAUUUCUAACAUAGACAUUCCUAUUUGCCAGUUUGAGUGGAAAUCUGUUAAUAUGUGAAUACUGCUCGCCAGCACGUACCAGCAUCACUGGACUCUCAGCACUUCUCCCAUGGAACACCCAGCCCUGCAUGCUCAGAGGGGCUCCACAGGACUGCAGCAUCUGUGUGAGCAGGACUGGCAGAGUUGCUAUGAGAAACCAUAACUCUGAGAACAUGUAACUCAGCUCAGUGAGUGAUCCACUAAUUCCCAAUGUAAGCCACAUCACCAAGAAGGCCUCGCUCUUUUACUGCCAUGGAUAUUAUUUGCCUUUCAAGAGAUGCUGGUAGCUAGUGCCAAAUUUGGUCAAGCUGUUUUAGCACUUGGAGUACUAUGGGUAUUAAAAUACCUUUAAAGGUCUGGGACUUUGAGCCAGAUUACCUGUAUGAUGUAUUUUAAUGACUAGCCAACCCUUCUGCUUGAACUGAAAUUUGUCCUGAAUCCACAGUAGCUCUUUGGGAACCUGGACUCAGCCAAGAUUUGCACAGGUUUUUUAAUUUGAUGCAUUAAAAAGUCCCCUGCUACAUAUCCCAUUCUGCCUGGCUGCAAUAUCAUGGCCAAUAUUAGACUAACAAUUUGGUUUUAGGCUCUUUCCACAAAAACAUUUGCAUCACACAGACCAAAGCUACAAGGUAUUUAUAGGCACUGAAGCUAUGUCUAUCCUCUCCCUCGCAGUAACGUGCCCUGAGCACAGGGAGGGUCUCUGCUGCUGCCCACACCACUGCCUGUGUCUCCAGUGAUGUGGCCAGAGUGUCUCUGAUACCAUUGCAGCAGCUCGUCCUCCACUUUAGCCUUAAAAUAUUUUUUGAAAACGAAGGAAAAAAAAAAGAGAGAAAUUUUCCUCAGUGCAGCAGAACCACUUCUCACAGAGUCCACCUGGUUGUUAGACAAGAAUCGUGCAAGAGAGAUUUGCAUGUGUGAGGAAGCCAGUGUGAAGUAGCUGCUCGAAUCCACUGUGCUGCACACAAUGAAACGAAUGCUGGUGAAUGGGUGUUUCUGUGAGGUAAUACUUCCAUCACAUCCAAUUCUAAUGUUAUCCAGCACACUGCCUUGCCAAGAGCCUUCUUUGUAUUGCAGGAAGCCAUCUGUGAUGGUAACUAAAAUGGGAACGGAACAGGAUUCACUUUGGAGCGCCCGUCAGAAGUGCUCCCCUCCGGCACGCGCUGCCAGCAGCAGCAUCUCUUCCAAGAUCACUCCCAAGAUGAUUUGUUGGAGCCUGCCUAGGCACGUUCCUGUGUGAGGAACUUGGUGAGCAACCUACUCAUGUGAGGCCAGAGAGCAUCCAGGAUUCCCUGAGGGAGGCAGAGGAAUCCCUGCAGAACUCCUCAUGCGUCCCCAUGGGGCAGGACACAAGAUUUGGGAAAAACCUUCCAUGCCUUUGUUAACUCACCCACAAAAUGAGCGGAUUGGUGCGGUGGAGCCCCUCACAUUGACACAGCCAGCUCUUGUCCCAGCCAGGUGAGGCUGUGCCAGACAGGGCAGCCUGGCAAUCCUGAGACAACAGGGAGCUGUACAUCCCCAAGAUGGCUUGGAAGUUCCAGGUAAUCACAGUAUGGAGCAUAACGUGGAUUUAUAUUUGUUACUUUACUUGCCUAUGGUACCUCCCAAGAGCCUUCUGAGGCAUUCCAUUCUUUAAUAAGCUGAAAGUGCUCUGAGAUUUUUCUAAUGAAAAUGAUAUAGGAGCACACACUGUUAUUAUUAAAACCUCUCUCUUUUUCUCUAGGAACUGCUAAAAUACAUUUACAGUUUAUAUCCUUUUUGGUGAGCAUUAAACUUUCUAAUUUAAAAUAAUAAAGCCUGGUUUGCUCGCUUUC